UGGGGAAUAUUGGACAAUGGGCGCAAGCCUGAUCCAGCAAUGCCGCGUGUGUGAAGAAGGCCUUCGGGUUGUAAAGCACUUUUAUCAGGAGCGAAAUACCACGGGCUAAUACCUUGUGGGGCUGACGGUACCUGAGGAAUAAGCACCGGCUAACUUCGUGCCAGCAGCCGCGGUAAUACGAAGGGUGCAAGCGUUAAUCGGAAUUACUGGGCGUAAAGGGUGCGUAGGCGGUUGUUUAAGUCUGCCGUGAAAUCCCCGGGCUCAACCUGGGAAUGGCGGUGGAUACUGGGCAGCUAGAGUGUGUCAGAGGAUGGUGGAAUUCCCGGUGUAGCGGUGAAAUGCGUAGAGAUCGGGAGGAACAUCAGUGGCGAAGGCGGCCAUCUGGGACAACACUGACGCUGAAGCACGAAAGCGUGGGGAGCAAACA
rnacentral:rRNA from 1 species